GAAAUAGGUUAGGACCAUAGGUUACUUCUAAACGUAUAGGUUUUGAUGAUCGGUCAUGUAAUUGGUUCAAGGACUAUCUAACGCAGUGGUCCCCCCCUCAUUUUGGGUGGCCCCCCAAAACAUGUCCGUGGUAUAUAGCCAGGGGCGGUUUUAGGGGCGGGGCCACAGGGGCCCUGGCCCCACCUGAAAUUUCAUUGGCCCCUGAAUGGCCCCUGUACCGGCAAUCAUCAAUAAAUGUCAAACUUGUUGAGAACGAUGAUCAGAGAUGCAAUUCCAUUCCCAAACAACUGGUGCCAGUAAUGCACCUUUUGAAGCUUGAAAGCUAAAGCACACAAAGAACUGCUUAGGUCUGUGCACGAAAGAAAGAAUACAUUUGGCUAACCAGAGAACUCUCGGCUAAUGUGAAGAACUGAUACAUUUGGCUAACGAAAGUAUCAGCUAGCGUGAAGAACCGAUCAAUGGCAGCGUUUCAUCCUCCACAGAAGUUUCUUGACUGGGAUGGCGUAGGCUUAGAUUGGAGCUGGUGACUUUAACCCACAGUCUUCAGAACCACCAGAGUCACCAAGCAUAGCUGCUCCUAAUGACAUUUCCCAUUAUAGAGCAGCUGGUUCUGUGCAACCAAAGGUAUUCCGCAAGAUACAGCAUGGAAAUAGGAAGAGGCCACUAAAUGACUUCUAAUACAAAGACUUCAAAUGGUUGGAGUAUUCCAUAUUUAGUGUUUUGCUACCCCUUCCAUAAUUUUUUCGCUUCCAAAUUCCCCAUCAUCUGUCUUCAAAUCAGAAUCAGACUUUUGUAACUGGAAGCAAGACGGUGAUUCAAAGACCAUUCCAAAU